rnacentral:tRNA from 1 species
GUCAUUGUAGCUUAUUUUUUUGAAAGCACGGCACUGAAAAUGCCGAGAUGAGGAAAAGCAAAACCUCCUCAGACA